UGUGUGUGUGUGUGAGAAUGGAGUGAAUCAAAUCUCCAGCUUGAGGGGAUUGUUGGGGAUGAAUGAGAGCAUGAAACCUGUCGCCAUCGCAUCCAUUUGUCACGUUCCCAUGCACCUAACUCACUCAGAAUUCCCUUUCCUCCCUUCCCUUCCCUUAUUCCUGCGUAAAUAAGCUUCCUCGUUCCACUCUGUAACUCGUCCUCUUGCAUUCUGGGAUCGUUCACUCAUUAGAAAAUGUUCUCAAGAUCAUUUUCUCAAAACGCCACUGGAACUUGAAACGCUUGCUUGAGAGUUGGGGUUGUUUUUAGUUAAAUCUUUUGAGUUGGCCUCUACAGAGAUUAGGCUAUUGCGUGGAAUUUGAUUGUUUUUGAGUUGGAGCCAUGGGAGUCGAGAAGGUUCAAGAGUUGAUACUGCAGAAUCCUCUCAUUAUUUUCAGGUGGGCAUUCCAUAAGGAUUUUCCACUCCACUUCUAAAAGCUCUUGAAAAGGUGGUUAAGUUGCAGCAAGAGUUACUGCCCCUACUGCCGAAACGUCAAGGAGCUCCUGAAGGGUUUAGGGGCUGAAGCUAAAGUGGUAGAACUCGACAGAGAAAAGGAUGGAGCUGAGAUGCUAAAUGAGCUUGGGGAAGUCUCU